rnacentral:rRNA from 1 species
CGGCGGACGGGUGAGUAACGCAUGGGUAACCUGCCUCAUACAGGGGGAUAACAGUUAGAAAUGACUGCUAAUACCGCAUAAGACCACAGCACCGCAUGGUGCGGGGGUAAAAACUCCGGUGGUAUGAGAUGGACCCGCGUCUGAUUAGCUAGUUGGUAAGGUAACGGCUUACCAAGGCGACGAUCAGUAGCCGACCUGAGAGGGUGACCGGCCACAUUGGGACUGAGACACGGCCCAA